GACUAUUAUAGAUACUGCCACUGUCUGCUCAAACUAGUGCAGUGACCCUGUAACAAUAAAUUGGUUGCAAGUCACGAGAAACUCAAUUAUCUUGUGGAGUGCAAGAAAAGUCAAUGAAACCUUGCUCAGCAGCCAUGGUUGGUGCGUUUCUCCUUGCGUAUAUCAUCAUGGAUCUACUCCUUAAAUGUGAAGCUCAAGAAAUUCAUCAAGCUAAGAUUUUUAGUGAAAAUAAAGAAGUACCAGAAGGUGGUAGACUGGAGGUUACUUGCA